rnacentral:rRNA from 1 species
GAAUCAACGCUGGCGGCGUGCCUCAGACAUGCAAGUCGAACGAUUAAAGCUCUCUUCGGAGAGUGUAUAGAGUGGCGCACGGGUGAGUAACACGUAAGUAAUCUACCUUUGAGUGGGGAAUAACAUCGGGAAACCGNUGCUAAUACCCGCAUAAUGCAGCGGCAUCGCAAGAUGACAGUUGUUAAAGNUUUAUCGCUUGAAGNGGAGCUUGCGGCAGAUUAGCUAGUUGGUAAGGUAAUGGCUUACCAAGGCUACGAUCUGUAACCGGUCUAAGAGGACGGUCGGUCACACUGACACUGAAUAACGGGUC